AAGAAUACUCAAAGAGCUUGAAUACGCGUGAAAUAUUCCUUAAAAAGGAAAAAGGCAUAGUUCGCAUAAAAAGGGUACUCAAAGAACUUGUAUACGCGUUAUAUUCCUUAAAAGGAAAAAGGCAUUUUUAGGGGCUUGGCUAAAACAUUAUCAGAGUUUGUAACGGAAGGUGUAACUGAAAUAAUCAGUGUUUACAGCGGAAUGCAUAACUGAGAUACAUGUAUGAAGACAUGUAUCCUUUCUGAGCCUACUUUAAGUUCGACAAAAACUCCAUUCAGCAACACUUCAUCGCCCAUCACAGCUCAACCUACACAAACAUAAACAUCGAAGGGCUAAGUACAAGAGUACUUAUGGGCAGUUGCCAAGCAAUAACAUAACAUCAUUAACAAUUUCACAAUAUCGCAUAAGAGGCAUGAGUUUCUUUCAUAUUCUUUGCUCAUUAAACAUUUCCAAAUUCAUAAAUAGCAUAAGGGCAUUCUUCAUCAUCAAUCUUCAUUAACAAACAUCGUGUCGUGGAGAAGGCCUUCCCAACGAACACGGGCAUCGCGCCGUGAGAGGGGGCCUCCCUCAGCGGUCACGGCAUCGUACUAUUGAGGGAGGCCUCCCCCAAUAGACGCUGUAACACUGGCAUACUGGCAUCGCGCCGCGAGAGAGGCCUCUCUCAGCGGACACGGGCAUCGCGCCGUGAGGAAGGCCCUCCUCAGCGGACACGGCAUCGUACUAUUGAGGGAGGCCUCCCCCAACAGACGCAAGCAUCAAUCACAGGCAUAAACUUAUCAGCGUAAAGCAUUCAAGCGUAAUCAAGCGUAAAUCAUUUAGCGUAAAGCAUAAUAAAGCAUACCACACUUGAAGAUCCAAUUUGCAUUUUAAAGCAUAACACAUGCAUAGCAUUUUAUUUACGCGUAAGAAAUUGCCCACCUGAUAGCAAAGUUUUGCUAAGGUACUCUAACUCCUUGUGUAGUUCUUACUCUCGCGCUUGACCUUAAUCACGAGAAUAUAAAAUAAGACAUUGCCUCGAGGAAAAUUCUUAAUUAAUGAGAAAGCGUAAUUUAACUAUGCAUGAAUCUUGUAUGCAUGAACUAAUUUUCUGAGCGAUAAUCAGGAAUUCUACUAUUAAUCCUCGUUUAUAGAUUUAACUAAUUCUCGUAUAACGCGGUCGAAUAAAGCUGUGAAGUAAACCUCGCAUUUGUACUUGAUUGAAAAAGGACUAAUUCGGCUUUAAACGAGGUGUGACCUUGUAGAAAUUAUCGGGCUUUUCGAUAGAAACAUCAUUACUAGCGUAACCUCAAAUAAUUAAUAGGCUCAAAAGAGAGUAGCCAAUUAAUUAAAUAAACCAGUGGCUUUAAAGAAAUAAAUGAUAAUAGUUCGCUUUAAAGUCCGAAGUCCAAAAACAAUAAUUAAUAAACUGGGCGGCUCAUUUACUGAAUACGAAUCGGCUCACCCACUGAUAAAUAAUUGGGCUCCAUCAAAAUUUGAUACUGCUAGGCUUAGCUCAAAGGAGUAACUUCAACUCAAGCUUUAAAAGAAUUAAAGCCCAACUUAAAGAGUCUUCGACCCAAAACAAUUAAAAUAGGGGUCCAAAUAAUAAUUGAGGUUUGGAAUAAUAGCCCAUCAUAAAAUAUGCAUCAGCCCAACCCUUAAAUAAAUCAAGCCCAAUAGAAUUAAUGAGAAGGACCAAUUAAAUUAAAGACUGGCCCAGUUUGAAUUUAAUGAAAGCUCAAUCAAUUAAAUUGGAAGCUUAAUUCCUUUAGAAUAAAACAAACCCAAGCUCAAAUAAUUCGGCCCAAAUAAUAUAGAUAACGGCCCAAUUCGAAUUUAGAUGUGAAGCCCAAGCCAUUAAAAUUCAAGCCCGAAAAUUAAAAGGGAAAAGCCCAAACAAUUAAAAUAUGAAAGCCCAAGCAAAAGAAAUAAAAUUAAGCCCAUUCUAAAAAAAAUCAGAGGCCCAACAUAAUAAAAAUAAAAACCGGCCCAACAACUUAAGCCCAUUCACUCUUUCCUUCUACAUUUUCGGCCCAAUAGCCAAAGCCCAACAAUUAAAAUAGGGGUAAGCCCAAACAUAGCCCAAUCCCUCUCUCUCUUUCUAAACUCUCGAUCUCUCUUUUAUCUUACGCACGCAGCCUUCUCUCCCCUCAAUUCCCCCAAUCUCAAUCUGCCUUCAGACUAGGCUUCCGCCGCCGCCGCCCGCAAUCCGGCGAGCCAGUCGGUCGUCGCCUCAGUUCUUCCCGACGCCUCUCAUCUUCUCUCAAUUUAGAUACUCUCUUCGGUCCUCUCCCUAUCUCUCCCUCUCGAUCCGUCUCCAGCCUAUCUCUCUCUCUCGGCCAAGAUCUGGUUGGCUGCUGUCGUCUGGGAGCGGUCCUGGAGCUGAUUAUCUUUGUCUGGACUCCGGCGAUUCAAACGGCGCCGGUCGCGUCUGGGAGUGGUUGCUGCUUCGCCUGGAAUCGCCGCCGGCUGGAGUUGCUGCUGUUCGUCCGGUGGUCAGCGCCGACUGCUGCUGUUUCGCCGGAGUCGCGGCCUGCUGGACUUCGUCUGCCGCUGCUCUGUGAACAGGCGGGAGUCGCCGUUGGCGUCGCGCUGCCUUUGCCCUAAAAUUGGCAAGGCUGUUGCUCGACACUCCGCCUCUAUUGGGAACUACCGCCUCCCUGUAACGUCGUUGGAAGCUGCUCCGUACUCGAGCCCCUGCUCUUCUUCCUCAGAAAUCAGCCGUCGCCGCCACUGAAGAAUCGGCGAGGUCUCCGUGCUCUCCUCAUUGUUUUCGUCCGGCAGGUAGCAAGCCAGAGGCUGCCACCGCCACCGCCAAGGGGCAGUCGCCCUCCUCCUCGUUUAUUGAAACAGGUACAAUCCCUUUCCCUCAGAAGCUAAGUUCGAUCCCCAAAUUUUUACUUGGUUCUUAGCGUGAAUCAAAGAUAAAGCGUAAUUUCUUCUUGCUUUGCAUAAACUCAUAUGCUCGUUUAAAACUAUAUAUGAACUGUCACUUGCUCAUAAAGACGUAGUUGGUGUGCUUACUAAGUUCAAGAUGUUUAUAAGGUCUUCUAUAUUUGAAACUGAUCAUGCUCAUGCCUUGAUAUGAAUGCUCACUGGUAUGAAAAAAAUAGGAUAGCAUAAUUACCUUGAAGUAUGCUGUUGGUUUGUGGCUGAGCUUAUGAAUCAAAUGUGCUGAAAAUAAGCCGUAGCUUGAAGCCUUUAUGUUGGUUGGAUAUUGCUUGGUUGUUGUCGAUUUACUAGAACUUGAUACUUUGGCAGAACUCGUGGCUGCUCUUUGAAGAGACCUCUUGGUGACAGGAAAAUGAUAGAGAAUGCUGUGCUCACUGCUGGAGUUGAGAUAAGUGGAGGAGAGUUGUUGGCUAGUGGCCUUAAAGAAACGAGAUGGUGGAGGUGGUUUGAAUAGGUGGGGAGCAAUAGGUGGUGGCAGCACAUUUAUUUUGCUUUCCACUAACUUUAUUGACUUUUCUAUCCCUCUUCUUUAAUUGUUGUGCCAACUUGAGUGAGUGGCAGUAAGGUGGCGUAAAUUCAACCUUGUAAUAUACUAUACAAUUUUUCCCAAGCUGGGAAGUAGACUGUAUUCGUGAACUGUAAA
rnacentral:lncRNA from 1 species